rnacentral:rRNA from 1 species
UACGGAGGGUGCAAGCGUUGUCCGGAUUUAUUGGGUUUAAAGGGUGCGUAGGCGGCCUCUUAAGUCAGUGGUGAAAGCCCGCGGCUCAACCGCGGAACUGCCAUUGAUACUGGGAGGCUUGAGUACAGACGAGGUAGGCGGAAUUGAAGAUGUAGCGGUGAAAUGCUUAGAUACCACCAAGAACCCCGAUUGCGUAGGCAGCUCGCUUGGCCGAAACUGACGCUGAGGCACGAAAGCGUGGGGAGCGAACAGG